rnacentral:rRNA from 1 species
UACGUAGGGGGCGAGCGUUGUCCGGAAUCAUUGGGCGUAAAGAGCGUGUAGGCGGACUGGAAGGUCUGGUGUGAAAGCCCGGGGCUCAACCCCGGAGGGUCACCGGAAACCGACAGUCUUGAAUCUGGAAGAGGAGAGUGGAAUUCCUGGUGUAGCGGUGGAAUGCGCAGAUAUCAGGAAGAACACCAAUGGCGAAAGCAGCUCUCUGGGACGGUACUGACGCUGAGACGCGAAAGCGUGGGGAGCGAACAGG